GGCCUUAAAUAAUGUGUGAC
rnacentral:rRNA from 1 species